rnacentral:rRNA from 1 species
UACACUCCUGCGGGAGGCAGCAGUGAGGAAUAUUGGACAAUGGGUGGAAGCCUGAUCCAGCCAUCCCGCGUGCAGGAAGACGGCCCUAUGGGUUGUAAACUGCUUUUAUCUGGGGAUAAACCUACUUACGUGUAAGUAGCUGAAGGUACCAGAAGAAUAAGCACCGGCUAACUCCGUGCCAGCAGCCGCGGUAAUACGGAGGGUGCAAGCGUUAUCCGGAUUUAUUGGGUUUAAAGGGUCCGUAGGCGGACUGAUAAGUCAGUGGUGAAAUCCGACAGCUUAACUGUCGAACUGCCAUUGAUACUGUUAGUCUUGAGUAAGGUUGAAGUGGCUGGAAUAAGUAGUGUAGCGGUGAAAUGCAUAGAUAUUACUUAGAACACCAAUUGCGAAGGCAGGUCACUAAGUCUUAACUGACGCUGAUGGACGAAAGCGUGGGGAGCGAACAGGAUUAGAAACCCGAGUAGUCC